rnacentral:tRNA from 1 species
GCCGGAGUGGUGAAAUUGGUAGACACGUCGGAUUCAAAAUCCGAUGCCAGCGAUGGCGUGCCGGUUCAAGUCCGGCCUCCGGUACCA